AAGGCAGGGUGACGGCGGCCCUGGAUGCGCAAGAUCACGGCAUGGUCACUUGCGCUCUCCCUAAAUCCAUUAGCAGUCCCGGCAUGAUCCCUUCCACCGUCUCCUUCUCCUCCUUCACUGCGCCAAGAAACCACGAUCCUCCGGGUCGAGGGACGGCGGGACAUCCAUGUCGAAGAGGUACGGAUCCAGUGGGGAGGGGGCUGAGAGAGAGAGAGAGAGAGAGAGAGCCCCAAAGCAUGGGCUGUGGGAGAGGAGCUGGAGAGGCUGGGUGAGGAGCCGGAGAGCGCCGAGCAGAGGAGACAGCAGCGAUAUGCACCCCCCCUAUGAGGAGCUCUGGGUUGCCUCCGCUCCCAUUAUACUGCACUGCUGCACAGGCUCUGACGUCGAGCCAAGGCGGACUGGUGGAAAGAUAGCAUUGGCACAGGGAAGGAAACCAUGGAAACGAGAAGCUGAUGCACUUUGAAUGUAAUGGACGAUUGAUCAGGUCACCUGCAGAGCUGGAAGCUGUCAAAGUUGAAAAUGCCGUGAUCAGUGAGUGACCCACCUCCUCAACUCUGGAUACACAGUCAUCCACUUCAAACAGUCCAACCAGAAGUGGUUUAAAUCUGUGCCAAGUAAACAUCGAAGAACAACUGUACACCCAUGAUGGUCUUUGCUUAUUCUGUCUCUGGAGCUAAGCUGGAAUGGGUGAACUCCUCAAACUUCCAGCGACGUCAAUCCAGCCCAUUCCUCUCAGGCCCCACGUAGCACGAGAAAAGGUCUGAUCAGGCAAAAGAAGUCCAGCACCUGUGCAACCUUUAAAUUGGCUCCUGCUCAGACUUAACUCACACGAUGUAUCUUAAAUUAAAUCUCUUUCACUCUCUGGAUCCAUUAUUUUUAAUUAGAUUUAGUUAAAGAUAGCAUCACAAUUUCAGACAAGAGUGAACAAGGCAGUAAAGCAUAAUGCUUCCUCGUCCUGGAGGGGCCAUAAGCAUUCGUAACAAAAGUUCAAAAUAAAAGCUGCGCAUCCAACGUGUACAAAUGAGGAUCGUUAUAAUAACAUGCGCCGUGUUUUGAAUACUACAGCAAAGGAAUCCCCGAUAUAUUCUCAGUGGUACGUACAGAGAGGGGCUUCCAACUUCUCUGCAUAUGAGUUGCUUCUGUCCGUCCACAUACUCACUAUGCUCCGAGCAGUCAUUCAUUAAACAUCUUUAUUUUAUUGCUUUGGAUUUUAUUUAUGGUUGUCAGCAUCAAUGGUAUUAUUUAUGCGAGAAAUACACAGUGAGAUGUGGAGGUUCUAAUAAUAAGCCCUUAAGUGUAAUAAAAAACAAAUAAGUAUAAAUAAAUUGAUGUAUUUUUUCC